AGACAUAAUUCCUACUAGAUAUACGUGGGGUUAUAUAGAGAAAGAGACGAGAUCACCACGAUGUUACUCCCACGACAACCAGUUCGAGCACCUAAGGAACCCUAAAUUCUUUCAAAUGUCAGGUUGAUAAAGACCAAUGAAGGGGCACUCCCCCAGAGCCACGCAACAACUCAUAUGGAAUCCAUAAAAGAUCCUUUUUCCGAAGGGGUGACUGCGGAAGGAU
rnacentral:rRNA from 1 species